rnacentral:misc_RNA from 1 species
GAUGAAGAACGUAGCGAAAUGCGAUAAGUAGUGUGAAUUGCAGAAUUCAGUGAAUCAUCGAAUCUUUGAACGCACAUUGCGCCUCCUGGCAUUCCGGGAGGCAUGCCUGUUCGAGCGUCAUCAAACCCCAUCGUGCAAAUGAAUUAUUUUUUUUGCGCGGAAGUGACGAUUGAGCGAGAAUAACAAAUCCUCUCGCACCUCGUCGAAAUGAUUGCGGGCGGAAUUUGGGAUCGGGUUCCUCGGCGUAGUGUAUCAAUGCAUAUUUAUGCAACUUGCCGCGGAGUUGAGCCUGACCCACGCGUUCUCGCCGUACAAACACCUCAUUACUUUACAAGUUUUUGACCUCGGAUCAGGUAGGGAUACCCGCUGAACUUAAGCAUAUCAAUAAGCUGAGGA